rnacentral:rRNA from 1 species
UACGUAGGGUGCAAGCGUUGUCCGGAAUUAUUGGGCGUAAAGAGCUCGUAGGCGGUUUGUCGCGUCUGCUGUGAAAACCCGAGGCUCAACCUCGGGUCUGCAGUCGAUACGAGCAAACUAGAGUGUUGCAGGGGAGACUGGAAUUCCUGGUGUAGCGGUGGAAAUGCGCAGAUAUCAGGAGGAACACCGGUGGCGAAGGCGGGUCUCUGGGCAAAGCAACUGACGCUGAGGAGCGAAAGCGUGGGGAGCGAACAGG